UUGAAGAAGUAAUAACCUGCACAAAAGAGGAAACACAAGAAUCCUUGGACAAAGAAAAGGAUGCAAAAGAAAGUGACACUUCAACUGGAGAGACAUGUAUUGAAGUAGCUGAGUUGAGUACAGAAGGAGAAAAGGAGGAACAGACCACACAAGAAGUCUCCUCUUCUCUGAUAGGCGAAGAAACAACUGAGGAAAGCCCAGAGGAAGAAGAGAACAAGGAAGCACAUGAAGAAUGUAAAGAGGUCAUUGAGGGAGCUAGCUCCUUUUUGUCAAAAGCAUCGGAGAAAGAAAUUGAAAAGGAGAUUCAGGGGGAGUAUAGCU
rnacentral:lncRNA from 1 species